CAGCCGCCGCGGGAAUACGAAGGGUGCAAGCGUUAAUCGGAAUUACUGGGCGUAAAGCGUGCGUAGGCGGUGAGUUAAGUCUGCUGUGAAAUCCCCGGGCUCAACCUGGGAAUAGCAGUGGAUACUGGCUCGCUAGAGUGUGUCAGAGGAUGGUGGAAUUCCCGGUGUAGCGGUGAAAUGCGUAGAGAUCGGGAGGAACAUCAGUGGCGAAGGCGGCCAUCUGGGACAACACUGACGCUGAGGCACGAAAGCGUGGGGAGCAAACAGGAUUAGAUACCCCUGUGUCCCUGUCUCUUAUACA
rnacentral:rRNA from 1 species